rnacentral:rRNA from 1 species
AGUCGAACGGAAAGGCCCUUCGGGGUACUCGAGUGGCGAACGGGUGAGUAACACGUGGGUGAUCUGCCCUGCACUUCGGGAUAAGCCUGGGAAACUGGGUCUAAUACCGGAUAUGACCUUGGGAUGCAUGUCCUUUGGUGGAAAGCUUUUGCGGUGUGGGAUGGGCCCGCGGCCUAUCAGCUUGUUGGUGGGGUUAAGGCCUACCAAGGCGACGACGGGUAGCCGGCCUGAGAGGGUGACCGGCCACACUGGGACUGAGAUACGGCCCAGACUCCUACGGGAGGCAGCAGUGGGGAAUAUUGCACAAUGGGCGCAAGCCUGAUGCAGCGACGCCGCGUGAGGGACGACGGCCUUCGGGUUGUAAACCUCUUUCAGCACAGACGAAGCGCAAGUGACGGUAUGUGCAGAAGAAGGACCGGCCAACUACGUGCCAGCAGCCGCGGUAAUACGUAGGGUCCGAGCGUUGUCCGGAAUUACUGGGCGUAAAGAGCUCGUAGGUGGUUUGUCGCGUUGUUCGUGAAAACUCACAGCUCAACUGUGGGCGUGCGGGCGAUACGGGCAGACUAGAGUACUGCAGGGGAGACUGGAAUUCCUGGUGUAGCGGUGGAAUGCGCAGAUAUCAGGAGGAACACCGGUGGCGAAGGCGGGUCUCUGGGCAGUAACUGACGCUGAGGAGCGAAAGCGUGGGGAGCGAACAGGAUUAGAUACCCUGGUAGUCCACGCCGUAAACGGUGGGUACUAGGUGUGGGUUUCCUUCCUUGGGAUCCGUGCCGUAGCUAACGCAUUAAGUACCCCGCCUGGGGAGUACGGCCGCAAGGCUAAAACUCAAAGAAAUUGACGGGGGCCCGCA